UGUACAGCAUAGAAGCUGACAAAUGCCCAUCUAUACAUGUACAUUCCAAAUUUCCAAUGCAUCAUUCCCUCACUGCAGGUGGCUAGUGAAGAAAGGGAAGAGCAAGAAAGCAGAUAAGACCCUCCACAGGUUACGUAAGGACUACACUGAGGAAGAGAUAAAGGAAGAACUGAACGACAUUGAGUUUACUGUACAGAACUCAAACAAUUCUUUAAUGGAUGUAUUUGCUGACAUAUUUAGAUGGAGGAUACUGGAAAGGUGUUGUUGUCCAUGGUCUAAUGCUUGUAGGGUAAGGACUGCACAAGAAGAGGACACUGUAGUCUGUAGCCAUUGUUGGUAUAAAGAAUGAGAACAAAGAUGAUACGAGUGAUGAGGCUGAAGAUGAUGAAAAUGAGUCACUGAUAAAAGAUACAGACAUCCUUGAGUUAAUUCUUUCAGCUAAAUUCGACAAAUAGCAAUGAAACAAUCUUUUUAUGACAGCAUUAUAAGAUUUACAUACAUUCCAGUAUAUUUUAUGUCUAUUUUAAAAUAAUAUCUA